rnacentral:rRNA from 1 species
ACUCCUACGGGAGGCAGCAGUGGGAAUAUUGCACAAUGGGCGCAAGCCUGAUGCAGCCAUGCCGCGUGUAUGAAGAAGGCCUUCGGGUUGUAAAGUACUUUCAGCAGUGAGGAAGGUGGAGUCGUUAAUAGCGGCCUCAUUUGACGUUAGCUGCAGAAGAAGCACCGGCUAACUCCGUGCCAGCAGCCGCGGUAAUACGGAGGGUGCGAGCGUUAUCCGGAUUUAUUGGGUUUAAAGGGUCCGUAGGCGGAUUAAUAAGUCAGUGGUGAAAUCCCAUCGCUUAACGAUGGAACUGCCAUUGAUACUGUUAGUCUUGAAUGAGGGUGCAGUGGUUGGAAUGUGUAGUGUAGCGGUGAAAUGCAUAGAUAUUACACAGAACACCGAUUGCGAAGGCAGAUCACUAACCCUAAAUUGACGCUGAGGGACGAAAGCGUGGGGAGCGAACAGGAUUAGAUACCCUGUAGUGUACUG